rnacentral:rRNA from 1 species
AUGGCGAGCAUGGAGGUCGCAAAGCCUGGGUCGUCCAAGCGCCUGUCCCCGAAGGGGAGUUUCAGGCUGAGCCUGCUCGCUUGCGGCCAGUGCAAGGCCACCACCGUGUCGCCCCCGGGCUCGCCCACCGGCGCCGGCGCGAGGUCGCUGUCGUCCUCGGCGUCGUCCUCCGCGGGGACGUCCCGCUCCCGCGGCCGCGAGCGCGACCGCCAGGCGGAGCUGCGGGAGAUCUUCCGCCACUUCGACCGCGACAUGGACGGCCGGAUCUCGGGCCGGGAGCUCGGCGAGUUCUUCGCGUCCAUGGGGGACGGCGGCGCAAAAGCCGCGAUGGAGCUGGACGCGGCCAGCUCCGGCGGCGCGGAAGGGCGGGGAGGAGGAGGAGCGCGAGGACCUGCGCGCGCGUUCGAGGCCUUCGAGGCGGUCAAGGGCUCCGGCCGGAUCACGCCGCGCGGCCUGCAGCGCGUGCUCAGCCAGCUCGGCGACGACCCGUCCGUCGCCGAGUGCGAGGCCAUGAUACGCGCCUACGACGACGACGGCGACGGCGAGCUUGAUUUCCACGAUUUCCACCGCAUGAUGAGCCAUGACUAG